rnacentral:rRNA from 1 species
UACGUAGGGGGCAAGCGUUGUCCGGAAUCAUUGGGCGUAAAGAGCGUGUAGGCGGCCAGAUAAGUCCGCUGUGAAAUCUCGAGGCUCAACUUCGAGCUGUCGGUGGAAACUGUCUGGCUAGAGUCCGGAAGAGGAGAAUGGAAUUCCUGGUGUAGCGGUGAAAUGCGCAGAUAUCAGGAAGAACACCCGUGGCGAAGGCGGCGUUCUGGACUGCUACUGACACUGAGGAACGAAAGCCAGGGGAGCAAACGGG